UGUAUGCGCACGCGCAUGUGUGCGUGCAUGAGAGUGGGUACCCACAGGGGCCAGAAAGGGCGUCAGAUCCCGCUGGAGCUGGAGCUACCAGUGAUUGUGAGCUGGCUUGGGUUCUGGCAAACAAACUUGAGUCAGUGCACGUACGCUUUGUAACCAACUCCCCAGCCCUGCAGACUGUUCUGUCAUCACGGGGAACUUGGGACAGCUGGGGUCUGGGGUUUUCUCAUAAAUACUUCCCUCCUUCAGCUACGUCUAAUACAUUCGAUGCUUCAAGUGACCCAAACUUCUUCGCCUUUAUUUUUGUUUUUGAGACAAGGUCUCACUCUGUAGCCCAGGCUGGCCUCAAAUUCAAGGCCCAGAGGAUUGGCCUUCUGCCUCCUGGGAUUCCAGGCCUGCAUACUGCUCACCACAUGUGGCUCCCACCCAACUGUUCUUUGAAACUUCAGAUCUCAUGAUGGUCCUCGUGUUUCUGUUUAGAUGUAAAUAGGGUGUAGUAUCCUAGUAAGGUUUGACUGGGUUUUCCAAGACGUGGUUUCUUAAAUGUCUCUCUCUGCUCAGGGUCUAAAGAAAGAAGCAUUACGUUGUUGAGAAGCAUGAGCCACUCUGAGAAAUUCAAAUUUCCCUUUUGAAUUGAAAUGACAUUUGGCCACUAGGUGGCGCCAAAGAGCAAGUCAGAAAGACCAAAGAUGUUAAAAGUAGGAAUGAUGUCUCUGAUUUCCAGGGUAGGACUGUCACUCACUAUUAAAAAACAAAACAAAACAAAAACUUAGGGGUCAGGCGACGGUGGUAUACACCUUUAAUCCCAGCACUCUUGGAAGGCAAAUCUCUGUGAGUUCGAGGCCAGCCUGGUCUACAGCGCGAGUUCGGUAGACCGAGAAACCCUCUGGGGGUGGGGAGGAGUGCUCAUGCAACCAUCUCACUUUUAUAUAAAGAGAUGACCUGUUUGGGGUAGUAAACUGGGGAAAUACAGAACACAUUACUGUUUGAAACUUUAUGGGCUGAGUCAAUAGUGUGCUUGCCUAACAUGCAGGAAGGUCUGGGCUCCGUCCCCACGCCCAUCCCACAGUUGCGCGCUUGUGAGCUCAUGGUCUCAGUGGUCUGGAAUUAAAGGUAGGAGGAUCACAAAUUCAAAGUUAACUUCAAGCAUGUAGCAAGUCGAAGACCAAGCUGGGGGAUGGGGGCGGGGGGACAGGAUAACACACCCUUAAAUGCAAAGUUCAAGUCCCCUGGCGAGCCUUAGAGCUGGGUUUGUCUCCUUCCUAUAUUUUCUGGGUUAUUGAUAUCUGCUGAGCACAUUCCUUUUUUUUUUUUUCUGGUUUUUGGUGUUUGAAGACAGGGUUUUUCUGUAAACCAGGCUGGUCUCUAACUCAGAGAUCCGCCUGCCUCUGCCUUCCAAGUGCUGGGAUUAAAUGGGUGUGCCACCACCACCUGACCUGAGCACAAUUAUUACUUCUGGGUCUCCACUCUUCGUCAGAAGUUCUCUAUUUUGAUAUGAGCAAUAAUAAUAACUUUCUUAUUCUAAUGUAUGUAAAAUACAGGAAAUUUCAUAGUGCACAAGGUUAGAAAUCCAUGGGUCCACUUCCCCUAUAUUCAUAUCCGGAGACGUAAAUGCCGUACCCUUCCCCUAAGGUCUCAUACCCGGAAACUUCGUAAAUCCCGUAUUCCUCUUGUCGCGUGUCUCCUCAUGUCUCUUACCCGGAGACGUAAAUGCCGUACCCUUCCCCUAAGGUCUCAUACCCGGAAAUGUUGUAAAUCGUCUCCGUCUCUUCACGUCUCAUAUCCAGAGAUGUAAAUGCCGCACCCUUCCCCGAACGUCCGGCUGUCUUGCUGUUUGUUUUAGGGAGUUGUUAGAAGGAAAUGGAAUCCAGGAGCUAAAGCCAUGUUCCGUAGUUUUUAAGUAGUUCAAAUUUGGGAAGGGAUUUUGGUUCUGCUCCCUAAUGUUAAUGGUUUGGGUCUGAGAAUGUGACUUGGAAAAUAUGUGGGGUUUGUAAUUAUUUCUUUUGUGUGUAAGUAGGUGUGUCUGAGCACCCAGUGGUCACGUCAGAGGACAAUUUGCAGGAGUCAGGUCCCUCCUUCCGAUGUAGGGAAAAAUCCAGUCAGGUUAUGAAGCUCGGCAGCAAGUGCCUGACCUAUGGAGCCAUCUUGCCCGCCCUGGUUUUGUUUUCAUUUGGGUUUUAUCUUGUUCAUAUUUUUUCUUAAAUAUUUAUUCACUUUUAUUUUAUAUGUUUUAAGUGUUUUGACAGCAUACAUAUCUGUGUACUGUGUGCAUGCAGUACCCGUGGAGGCCAGAAGAGGGCGGGAGCCAAAGUCUGGAAAUUUAAAUACAGGGAGCUGGUUCAGGGCAGAUUCAGGGUAUGGAGAGGCGUCUAUGCAUGGACCGAGAAUCCCGUGCAGGAAUGUACAUACCUGCAUUGCUCAUAAUUACCAUGUCGGAGAGCGUCCUUUGGCAGAGCAAGGCGCACAGUGUGGUGUGCUCACACGCUGGAUUACGGGGGGAAUGAAAACAGUCACGGCUGCCUGUGGUAACAUGCUGAAUCACACGCUCCAGAUUCCGCGCACGGAAAACACUCAAUGAAGAAGGCAAGACUGUGCAGCAUAUCAUUUAGGUGAUGGAAUUCAUAAGUGAAGCUUACAAAAAAAAAAAAAUCAGAGGUAGUGGAAGAGGCUGGCAGAGGAGGGAGAGCUGAUGGGUUUGCCGAAUCCAAGAAUGUGCCACGCCUCGAGACGGAAGGGAGUCUCAAAGGCGGGUUAGGCUUCCUCGUGUGUUUGGAGGCUGGGGGGGGGGGGUGUUGUCCUGAAACGACAUGGUUAUCAUUUUUACGUGUAAGCCAAUUUUAUUGUUUAAAUUGUUGAAAAAUUUAAAGCCCAAAGAGGCGGCUAUUACAGAGCACCCAAGUUCAGUUCCCAGCGCCCAUAGUAUGCUGCUCCCGUUGCCUGGAACUCCAGCCCCAGGAGAAUCCGACGCCUUCUCCUGGACUCCAGGACACCUGUGUUUGUGUGCACAUACCUCUACGCAGACAUGUAGACAGACAUAGACACGCAAUUAAAAUAAAUAUUUUAAAAAUUUGUUUUUAA